GCGAGCGAGCGAGAGAAAAAGAAGCGAGCGACCGAGUAGCUGCGUAGCGAUGCCUGUGACCUAACCCGUCUCCCCCAGCGAACCCCGCCUCCUCUCCUGCCGCCGCCGCCGCGCCCCCUUCUUCCCUUCUCCAUGCUCGCCGCUGCCGACGCCGCGUCUGCCAGCCGCCCCGCCUCGAGCCAGCCGCCGUUCGGUAAAAACCUAACCUCCACACCCACGCCCCCACCAGUCCCUCCCUCCUCUUCCUCGACCUCCCUCCUAGCUGCCUCCGCCUCCCCUCCGCGGUCGACCUCCUCGUUGCCGGUGAUGCUACAGCGCCUUGGCCCGGUCGUCUCUGUCUCUUGCCGUGCUCUCUCAUGCUGCUGUGCCUCCUGGACGACGCUCCCGUGCCUCGGAUGCACCCCCUUCUCUCCCGAGCUCCAGAUCCAUGGCUGCAGCGGCGAGAUGAAAUUGCAACACCUGGUACCAAGACCAUGCUGGGAUUUUCUGAUCAUGUUAGGAGCUUUGUCAAUCCUGUAUGGACGACCUCUUUGAGUGGAAAUGAUUCGGAUACAACAUCACGGACAGGAAAACAGUUGGACAUCAGCCAUGAAAAGGUUCGAGGUCUUUCACGGAGUUUCCUACCAGCUAUUCAUCUAGAGCACUAUCCUUGUGAAAAUUUCUCAUUUUCUCCUCCAUCUAUUGAUAGGAGACGCACUCGACAAGGGUCAUGUCCUGUUUGUUAUGUGCCUGUUGACCAGGGCCUGGCAUUGAUGCCAGCUGCUCAUCUGUCCGAAGACAAUUUGGUACUCAUAGGUCCAAUAGUGGUUCUUUAUUUUGUGGUUAUCCAUCCCUGGAACAACGAGAUAUGUCUUAUAUGACAUAAAAGACUCGAUGACACUACAUUGUGGGUAUGUCCUUGUAUGACUCAAAUGAUUUAACUCUUGUACAUUUAUAUGAUCACUGUGUGUUGUAUCGCUAACCUUUUCUUUAUAUUAAGAUCUGUGAGGGGGGAAGAUACAUGGUCUCGAUACUGCAUUCGAUGUAGAUGAAGCUGGUCUGUCUGAGAUGCGGCAGUGCCAGGGGACAUUUGCUUCUGCUAUUUUUGGGAACUGCAUCCUCUUUUCUAUGCCAAUUAUAUUUGCAUGUUGUCAUGUUUCCAUGCCGGUGCUAAUUGCACAUCGUGUGUGAACUUUCUUAUUUGUUUUUCUCAGAGAAUUAUGAUAUAAUGCAACGACCAGAAAACAUCAGUACAUUUUCAAAAGAUAUUGUUUGCUUCUUCAUGUUUCUGGAUGAAGAAACUGAAGCUGCAAUAAAGAAGAUCCCUACUGUUGAUAAUACGAAAAGAAUCAGGCUGUGGCGGGUGGUUGUUGUGCACAACCUUUUCCUGACCCAACAACUUUCGUGAAAAUCAGCCUAAAAUCACUGUGCAGUUCAUUGUGAAGAAAAUAAAAAAAAAUACUACUGAACCGACAGAGUUUUGAAGCUGGCUUCGCCGCUGCUGUACUGUACAUUAGGUUAUUUGAUUUUCCUAAUUGAAUCUUUUUGGUGCCAGUUACUUCUGGCAUGGAGAUUGUGCACAAGUUAAAAUUCAGCUUAGCGGGCAAUGUAAACUAAAAUUUAGUUGCAAAUAUAAUUUUACGCAAUCUUCUAAAAGCAACAUGCGCUCUUAUCUAGAUAGCUGAUCCAACAUGUUUUCAUUCUUUUCUGCAUUGGGUCAGUGUGAAAAGUUUCUUGACUCCACAACCAUCUUUCCGUUCUGUUGAAAGACGAGAUGAGUAUGCCAUGCUUAAUGUGAAUCAGCAUGAGCGAAUUGUUUUCCUAAUCACGUAUUUUCCUUGUGGUAAUUUUUUAAUUGAAAUGCCAUGCUUAAUGCGAAUCAGCAUGAGCGAAUUUUUUUCCUAAUUGUGUAUUUUCCUUGUUAUAAUUUUUUAACUGAAUCCCUUGUGAUAUUUAGGUUCCAAAACUAUUACUUCAUCGGCUCUUUCCUAAUGUGCGGUAUUCACUCUGUAUCGAUGGGAAACUUAAACUUGUGAAGGAUCCUUAUCAGCUGUUAAAGAGAUUCUUGUGGAGGAAAAAUGUGCGCUUCACUAUUUCCAGGUAUUAUAGACGCUUUGAUGUCUUUGAGGAAGCUGAGGCCAACAAGGCUGGAAGUAUGAUAAUGCUUCAAUCGAUAACCAAAUAAAGUUCUACAAGACAGAGGGUUAACCCAUUAUUCAUCAGCUAAGCUCCUUAUUGCAAGCUGCAAAUGGUUCUUCUCGCUGAAUUCUGAUAUAGAAAUAUUUCUCCUGAGAACAUAAGGGAUACAUUUAUCUUGAACAGAUUCCCUGAGGGUUGUGUAAUUAUAGGAGAGCACAUACCAUCACCAAUCUCUUCACAUGCCUUUGGUUCAAUGAAGUUGAUCGUUCACCUCAAGAGAUCAGCUAAGCUUUAGCACAACGAGGGAUAAAAUAAGAUCAAGAGUUCUUGUUGACAACUAAAUAAGAUCAGGAGUUGAUUGGACUGCAGACAUGUUCCUGGAUUGUGGAAGGCGUGAAUUUGUUGUUCAGGUAUUUUUUGAGUUAAUGCUUUGUGCGGCACAUCAUUCCAUUUGCAACCUGAAGUACUAUUGCAACUUGGUACCGAGUGCAGACUUUGUCAAAUUACACACAAAAAAUUCCAGCAUAACAAUGGAUCUUCGCAUCUUCAUAGCGAGCUGUUUGAAAACAACAUCAGUGGACCGAUGAUUUUUUUUGGAAAGAACACAAUGUCAGGAUCUUUGACAUAAUAGAAUUUUGCUGGAGUUUGAGGCUAUCUAUUGAUGAGGUAUCCUGGAGAGCUGCAAGUUGCUUUUCUUGUUUUGAAUCAUGUUCUUGUUGUUUUCUCCUUGCUGAGAGUGUAUUAUGUGGGUAGUGUACUCAUCAUGAUCUCUGAAGCUAUGCUUACAGUUGCAUCAUUGUUUUCUUGAAAAUUGACCCUCUAAAUUCAUGUUCUCUUAUAACCGAUCCUGUAAAAUCUUCCUUGUAUUUUAAUGAAGUUUCACACCAUGCCCUUUGAGAUAACAAGUGGGACAUUACAAGGCUUA